rnacentral:rRNA from 1 species
GAUGAACGCUGGCGGCGUGCCUAAUACAUGCAAGUCGAGCGAACAGACGAGGAGCUUGCUCCUCUGACGUUAGCGGCGGACGGGUGAGUAACACGUGGAUAACCUACCUAUAAGACUGGGAUAACUUCGGGAAACCGGAGCUAAUACCGGAUAAUAUAUUGAACCGCAUGGUUCAAUAGUGAAAGACGGUUUUGCUGUCACUUAUAGAUGGAUCCGCGCCGCAUUAGCUAGUUGGUAAGGUAACGGCUUACCAAGGCAACGAUGCGUAGCCGACCUGAGAGGGUGAUCGCCCACACUGGAACUGAGACACGGUCCAGACUCCUACGGGAGGCAGCAGUAGGGAAUCUUCCGCAGUGGGCGAAAGCCUGACGGAGCAACGCCGCGUGAGUGAUGAAGGUCUUCGGAUCGUAAAACUCUGUUAUUAGGGAAGAACAAAUGUGUAAGUAACUAUGCACGUCUUGACGGUACCUAAUCAGAAAGCCACGGCUAACUACGUG